GGGGUAGUAGUUAAACAUAACAUUUGGGUUGCAUCUGAAAAGUACUGUAAAACAGUCUAUCUC
rnacentral:tRNA from 1 species